rnacentral:rRNA from 1 species
UACGAAGGGUUCAAACGUUGCUCGGAAUCAUUGGGCGUAAAGCGCACGUAGGCGGCUUCGCAAGUCGGAUGUGAAAUCCCUCGGCUCAACCGAGGACGUGCAUACGAAACUGCGAAGCUUGAGUACUGAAGAGGAUCGCGGAAUUCCCGGUGUAGAGGUGAAAUUCGUAGAUAUCGGGAGGAACACCAGUGGCGAAGGCGGCGAUCUGGGCAGAUACUGACGCUGAGGCGCGAAAGCGUGGGGAGCAAACAGG